ensembl:ncRNA E01G6.8 ncRNA
CUUCUUCAAGGCAUUGAACCAAUUAAAAACGGGCGCCUGGGAAAUAGUGUGGCACCCGGUGGAGACGGUACUCUCCUUUUCCAGGUCAUGACGAGCUCUGUUUUUGCUCUCGGCAGACAUGCGCUGCUGCUGAGCUGUUUGCCUGUAGAAGCUCCGGUGGCUUGACCGCGCAGCGCCUCGAGUCCGCGCGCUCUCUCGCUGGGCGGUACACGGAGCCGGUUUCGUGUACUUGCCUGGGAGGGCAGGGCAUGUGCCUUCCUACUUGAAGCCCGUGUUCGGCCACCUUCUCCCAUCAUUCAUAAAUAUUCUCUUACCAAUGAAGACAGAAAAUUAAAAUUUUCAAAGUAUUUUGAAC